rnacentral:rRNA from 1 species
UGCGUAGGCGGCCUGACAAGUCAGAGGUGAAAGGCUACGGCUUAACCGUAGUAAGCCUUUGAAACUGACAGGCUUGAGUGCAGGAGAGGAAAGUGGAAUUCCUAGUGUAGCGGUGAAAUGCGUAGAUAUUAGGAGGAACACCAGUGGCGAAGGCGACUUUCUGGACUGUAACUGACGCUGAGGCACGAAAGCGUGGGGAGCGAACAGGAUUAGAUACCCUGGUAGUC